ACUGGGGGCCUUGCCAACCUCUCUGGCUUUGCCAUUGAUUGUUUCCAUAUUGGAGCUAAACUUGACAAUUGUUCCUACAUUGAUGCCUAAGUUUUAGGGUUUUCAAAGAAACAUCAUGGAUUAAUUUGGAUCAAAAAAGGUUCAAGCCCCAAUAUAAAAACAAUUACCACAAAAAAAUUCAGGUCUCAAUAUGAAAAUAAUUACCAAUUUCAGGCCCAAAAAGGUGAUUUAACCCUUUGCCCAACCCCAUUCAAGUUACCAAACGAGAGGAAAAUAACAAAUUCCUAGAAAAUCUACAAUUUUGUGCGCUAAAAAAGAAAAUACAAAUAGUCGUUUCAGUAUAAUUUUCUCGGAAAAUAACCAAAACCCAGUCCUUUAAGCUUCAACAUCCAAAGAAAAAAGAAUGACUGCAAGUCAUUUGGUUGCUGAAUCCGUGUGGAAAACAAUAGAGUCAACUCAUUCAGGUCUUUCUUUUUUUCCCCCCUUAUUUAUUCUUUCUAUGUAGAAACUAAAUUCCAUCUUCUUCUUUUUUCCUUUUUUAAAUCCCUAAAUUUUGUGAUCUUAUGACCCAAAUUGGCCAGUAAAUGAAGAGCAACUAUCAAUGUAAGCAAUACUCAUUUUCUUUUAAAUCUUUUAUUCUUGGGCUUUUUAAAAUAAAAAUAAAAAUAAAAAUGGUGGGUAUUGAUUAAUUUUGAAUUUUCUUUUAUUGUAGCUUGCAUUUUCUGUUUGGUAAAAACUUCGAGAGAGCAACAAGGAUAGUUGACCAAAGGGGUGUCAAGAAAAUCUCCGGUGAACCCAGCGGUCGUUUUAUCUUUCAGGUUCAUUCUCUUUGUUGCUAUCUCAAUUUUUGAAUAUUGGUCGAAUUCUCCUAUUAGUCCAUGCACUCUGCAUAAAUUGCAGAUUUAAUCCAUGUUCCUCGAUUUAAUGUUUUUAAUGAUUUGUUUUUCAAAUUGUAAUUUUAGUAUCAUGUUAUAUCUAUUUAAUUUAAUUAUUUUAUUUCAGUUAAUAAAUUUCACUGCUAUUGGAUAUAAGAAUAAAAAUGAUAAAAUUUUAGAACAAAUAUUAAAUCUAUAAGGUUAGGACAGAAAAAUCCAAAUAUUAUAAAAUUAAAAUUGACCAAAUUAAAAUAUGUAGACUAAAUCUGUAAUUUAGACUUAGUAUAUAUACUAAGGGAAGAAUUUGUCAUAGAAUAUUUGGACGAGUUGUCGGCUACCUUAUGUGUAAAAUAUGGUCAUUUUGGCAAAUAUUCCAUUUUAAGAACUUUCCUGGAAACUUUUCUGAAACUGUGAGCCUUGAGAUAAAACCCGAAGCAGAAUUGAGACACAUCAGUAUAUAUCCAUUUGUAUAUCUCAAUAUAUAUAUAUAACAUACGCCUGUCUAGUUAGAAUAUUUGGACAAGUUGUCGGCCACCUUAUCUGUAAAAUGUGAUCAUUUUGGCAAAUAUUCCAUAUUUAAGAACUUUCCUGGAAAAUUUCUGAAACUAUGACCCAUCAAGGCUCUUGGCAGAAUCGUGAGAUAAAACCUGAAGCAGAAUUGAGACACAUCAAUAUAUAUAUCCAUUUGUAUAUCUCAAUAUAUAUAUACAGACGCAUGUGUAGUUAGAAUAUUUGGACAAGUUGUCCUCUACCUUUUCUGUAAAAUGUGAUCAUUUUAGCAAAUAUUCCAUCUUAAGAACUUUCCUGGAAAUUUUUCUUAACUAUGACCCAUCAAGGCUCUUAGCAGAAUGGUGAGAUAAAACCCGAAGCAGAAUUGCGACACUUCAAUAUGUAUCCAAUUGUAUAUCUCAAUAUAUAUAUAUACAUAGGCAUGUCUAGUUAGACUAUUUGGACAAGUUGUCAUCUACCUUAUCUGUAAAAUGUGAUUAUUUUAGCAAAUAUUCCAUCUUAAGAACUUUCCUGGAAAAUUUUCUGAAACUAUGACCCAUCAAGACUCUUAGCAGAGUCGUGAGAUAGAACCCGAAGCAGAGUUGAGACACAUCAAUAUAUAUAUCCAUUUGUUAUAUAUAUACAUACGCAUGUCUAGUUAGAAUAUUUGGUCAAGUUGUCAUCUACCUUAUCUGUAAAAUGUGAUCAUUUUAGCAAAUAUUCCAUCUUAAGAACUUUGCUGGAAAAUUUUCUGAAACUAUGACCCAUCAAGGCUCUUAGCAGAGUCGUGAGAUAAAACCCAAAGCAGAAUUGAGCCACAUCAAUAUAUAUAUAUCCAUUUGUAUAUCUCAAUAUAUAUAUACAUACGCGUGUCUAGUUAGAAUUUUGGACAAGUUGUCAUCAACCUUAUCUGUAAAAUGUGAUCAUUUUAGCAAAUAUUCCAUCUUAAGAACUUUCCUGGAAAUUUUUCUGAAACUUUUUUUUCCCAUUGUUUGGUGCUUUAGGUUGUGGGAGAAUCUAGAAGAAAAGAAGAAUAUUUCUGUUUUGCUGAACAUUAUUGUGCUUGUUAUUCAUUCUUUUAUGAUGUAAUUAACAGAGCAGAACAGCUUUGUGUAAGAUUUCUUUAUUCCUUUAUUCCCCUUAUUUUAUUGCAUUUAAUAUAUAGGUAAAAUUUUUGAAAUUGAGCAAAUUGGUCCCUCUAAAAAAUUAUAGCAAUUUAUCUUUGUCAAUUCCAAAAGUGAGCAACUAAAAAUAAUUAAUCAAGACGUUGAUAUCAUUUGUCAAUUGUACAUAGUUUUGAUUGGUAUAAUAACAAAUUUAGCCUUGUUAUUUACAUGUUUAUACAAAUAUUGAGUUGCAUUUAUUAAAUCAGGACAAAAUUGAAAGAAUAUGUAACUUUGAGAGCUAAAUUAUUUAUUAUACCAAUCAAAUUUAUGUACAAUUGAUGAUCAAAAUAUUAAUGUUGUGAUUAAUUAUUCUUAGUUGCUCACUUUUGAAUUAAAACGGAUUAAAUUACUUCAAAUUUUUUAGAGGAUUCAAUAUGCUCAAUUUACUUAAAUUUUUUUAGAGGAUUCAAUAUGUUCAAUUUUAAAAUUAAAAGGGAUUAAAUUACUUUAAUUUUUUUAGAAGAUUCAAUAUGCUCAAUUUCAAAAUUGAGAGGGACUCACCUAUAUAUAUUUGCUGUAUUUUCAUAUUUUGUUUUGCUUUUGUGUAGUGUAAGCAUCAAUUAGCUGCAAGGCUUGCUGGAUCAUUGGGAGCUUGUAUUGAAGUUAAAGUGUCUGAUGAACAGCUAGCUGUAUUACUUUCUGAGCUCUAAAUUUUUGUAGUAAAAUCGUAGCGGGUCGGAUCCGAAAUUUAAUCUAGUUGGUUCAUGCAGUUACAUUUAAAGAAAUGACAUUCAAUAAAUAUGAUUCAAUUUUUGAUAAAUAAAAAUAUUGUUUGUAUGUUUAACAACAAAAAGAAUGAACAAAUUAUAAUCAUCAAAUCAAGGAACAAUAUUGUGAGUUUUCAUCUUUUUAAUCCAUGAAUUGAACGACGUUUUCGAGUUUCGGAACCCGACAAAUCCAUGUUCUUUGCUCUUGUUCAUGCUAUCCAACAGUGACUUCCCCGAAAGCACCGAAUCAACGAACUGCCAUGCUCCGGCAUUGCUCAAUUUCAUCGGCAAAAGACCGUUCUCCCUCACGAUGUUGUCCCACACCGGACCUUUGUCUUUCAUCAUUUCAACCAAGCUUGGCACCUUCUCUUCGGUUUCUUGAAAUCCGUAGUGUUCGAUACCGAACUGGUCAGCUAACACUUUCCAUAAGUCCUUCCACUUAAACACAUCUCCAUUGCUACAAUUAAAGGCUUCGUUUUUCGCUCGCCGGCUCAUUGCUGCCCAUAUUUGAUGUUCUGCAAUCAAAUCCGCAUCCGAUGCAUCCCAGUACCCUUCCCACGCUUGUCGGUUCCCCGGAAACCUCAACGGCUCGCUUUCAUGCUUACAUAUCGACGCGUAAAUGCAUAAACUCCGAACUAUAUUCAUCGAACUAAACGGAGAAAACCCAAAAACCAAUCCCGGCCUAUGAACAGACCAUGUCAAGUUCUCCUUCUGCUUCACUUCUUCCAACAAAACAUCCUCGAGCGUAUAACACAAGUUUGACGACUUAAGCCUCGGAAGAUCCUCGCGAAAAGGAGGAUCAUGGGGCUGAACAUGAUAUUUUCCGUACAAAUCAAUCGGACCGGUGUAAUGCCGACGACCGGUUUGCAAGCAUAUAUGUUUCAACUUGGGUGAAUUCGGGAUUACCGCUUUCAACACGUUCCGUAACAUAGUACCAUUGAUAACGCAGUUUUCAUCUUCAGUUGAUCUCUUAUCCCAUGCAACAUAAAACACAUGAGUCACAUCGUUAAGCUUUGAUAAUUUAUCACAUGUUUCUUCUUCAUCUAAAACAUCGCAUUGUAUGUACUCAAUAGGCAAAUGACUAGUCGAGGCUGGUCGAGGCUGACGAGCAACACCGUAGACCUUCCACGGUCCGCCGGGAAUACCGGAGAACGGAAGAAUCUCGGCGAGACUGUUACCGACUAUGCCGGUGAUGCCAAUGACCAAAGCAACACUCUUGUACUUGGAUUGUUUAUCAUGUUCUUCCAUUUUCUUCUGUAAAAAAAAAAAAAAUCUGGGUUCAUUAGAUUAAAUGCAGAGAAAGAGAACCCAAAAAAAUGAAUGAGCAUUAACGUACCUUGGCAGCACCAAUGGCUCCUGCCCACCACCAACUCAUUGUAUGUUUUUCUUUUGCUGUUAAUGAAAAAAAAUGCUGAAUUACAUCCUUAAACUUUGUCUGCAAUGUUUUUAUAGUGAUCCGCUUUGAUAAAAGUGACGUCUGGGAAUUUAAAAAAGGAAAAAAAAACCAAUCUUAUCUAUUUACAUGUAUCAACUACAGCUCAACAAGAACUUGUUAUCAAUUUGAUUUCUUUAUAAUAAUAAUAAUAAUAAUAAUUUUAGUUGGGAUAAAUUACAAGAAUAGUCACUCUUGUUUGUCUUAGAUUAUAUUUUAGUCAAUUAUGUUAUCGUUUUGUUACGAAGUGGUCACUCUACCGCUAAACUCCGUUACCUCCCUAGCGGUAGUUCUACGUGACAGUUAAAAUUAAAUUUAUUUAAUUAAAAACAUAUUUUCAUCCCAGUAGCUGGACAUCCAAGUUGGCAUUUAAAACAUGUUUGGAUUGCUACGUAGGACAAUCGUUAGGGAGGUAACGGAGCUUAACGGUAGAGCGACCAUUUCAUAACAAAAUGAUAACAUAUGUGACUAAAAUAUAACAUUUUAAACAUAAAUGAUUAAAAUGUAAUAUGAUUCAAACAAAAGUAACUAUUUUUAUAGUUUACCAUUUUAUUUUUAAUUUGUUUGAAUAAACAUGGAUACAACACAUAUAUUUUAUAUAAAAUAAUUUAAGUGGCGGAAUUUUUUAAAAGAAAAUCAGAAAGGACGUGGAAAAUGGGUUAAUUGGUGAAUAUGUGUAAAUCCUUCAAUAAUUGAAUUGGUCAGCCAACACUUAAAGACUAAGGAUUAGACAGCUAGUAAACACAUCAGCAUAUAAUCAAGCUUGCGUGGAGAACCUAGCGUGUAAGGAAACAAUACAUCCUUAUCUAUUCACUAAAUCUUCUAAUGCUAUGAAAAAAAAGGAUAGAAUUUUGUGAAUUUUAUAAUUGGAAAGUUUAAGGAUAGGAAAUUAAUAUGAAAUUUGGCUUUUUUGUUUUUUUAAUUUGUAUUCCAAGUUAGUUUUUUACUAUUUAAGUCAAACAUUUCUAUUGGGUAUUGUUAAAUUAACAUGAGUAUUAUUGUUAAUAUAGAGGAAUGUGUGUUUGAGUGCGUUGAAGUGUUAGGUCUGUUCUUGACGUUUUUGGGCCUUAACAAAACAAUAAAAUGGGUUUCAAGUUCCUUAAAAGUUGAAGAAAAAAAAUUUGGUCCCUAAAAGUUGGUAAAAAAAAUUUGGCCUUUAAAAGUUAAAAAUAAGAAUUUUGGGCCCCUUAACAAUUGGAGAAUAAUAUUUUAGACCCCUUUCAGCCUUGGGCUCUGGGAAGCCGCACCUCUAGACGACCUCUAGAGCCAGGCCUGUGAAGCGCAUUAUCCUCUUAUUUAUGGGUUGGAGUAUAAUCAGAACCUAUAAUGAGAUUGUUAAAAAAAAUUUUAAAACAAAAAAGUUUUAAGAUGGAUUGUGAAUUUAAGGUUUUUUUUUAAUGGUUACAAGUUGCUUGGAAACAAAAUAUUAGUAAAUCAGAAUAGAAAAAUAAAUAAAUAAAUAAAUUGAAAACAAUUAGUCUCUCGAUAUGAUAAAUUAAUUUUGUUUAACAUUCGUUGUAACGACGGUUAGAAAGAAAACAAGCAGCGAAAAAAAUAAAAGAAGAAAAGAAUUGACACAACCGAUCUUUGUUAAUACAGUUUAGACACAGUGGUCCUAUAUUUGCGGAGCCUCUCCCAGUGAAUGAUUUUAUUCAACAAUCGUUCGGAUCACCUAUUGGCUUAAGCCCGAUUACCUUUACACAAAGAAAUAAUUCAAGCUUCAAUAUUGACCCCAAUUGUCACAAAUCACUCACCCAAAUACCUCACAAUAUGAUAGACUUUAAACUCCUAUUUAAAAGUUGAAAUUAUCCCAUUAAUUAUCUUUAGUACCCCAGGGUGAAUCAAACUCAGUAUAAACGAAACCUAUUUAAGGCCCAAGUCAAUAACUUAAGUAGAGAAACAGUUUCGUUAUAAUUGGACAUAAAACAAACAGCAAUUUUCCCAACAAAAACAUAAUGGGGAGAGCGAGACUUAUUCCUAAGUUGGCAAAUGCAAUUGCUCAGCUGUUUGUUUCAUGCAAAACUUAGUUGGCAAUUAACAAAUUCAAAUAGGCUCAACAUCUUUAACCUAUGGAUAGAAUUUCUAAUGCCAAUUUGAAUUCCUUCCUUCCAAGAAAUCCUUCAACAUUUUUAUCUCUUUGUGCAAGCAUUAUUGUAACAAGUCCAUCUUCUUAACUUUCACUAGAGAAUCUGUGGUGAUAUGGAGUUUACAGUAAACCCUAUUCGAAUGGGGAGUAACAAUCCUCUUUUGUCCGAUGAUUCUUUUGUUUUGGGUAAGAAUUCCAAAAUUCAUUUUACAAAGAGUAAACGAAAGUUGUGUUAUUGUUUAUGGGAAUACAUGAAAGUAAUCUAGAGUCGAGCAUUUUAUACCAUUUGUCUUAUAGAAUUUUGGGUUAACUUCGUUUGGUCGGUAAAUUUGACGAUAUAUGUCAUGUUAAUCUUUCUAAAAAAGUAAAUGGUGAAUUACAUUAAUGGUUAUCUAAUUAUGAUUUUUUUUUAUCACCCAACCAUAAAAAAUUACAAAAUAGUUAGUCAAUUAUUAGUAUUUUUUUUAUCAUCCAAUUAUAAAAAAGUGACAAAAUAAUCUUCAUUUUCAUGUUAACCGACUAAUAACUAAAAAAUUAAUUGAAUAAUUAGAUGAUCAUUUUGUAAAAUUUUCAUAGUUAGGUGAUAAAUGAAACUAUAAUCUGAGUGUCCUCUAUUAUAGUUUUGAGUAUAUAAAUAAUAAAAUUGCACAUCCUAUUUGAUAUUUUUGAGCAAAAGAAAAGAAAAGAAUAAUGAACUUGGAUACAUGGUAUUAGAGCGACUUAUGAUUGCAAUUGCACAUCCUAUAUGAUAUUUUUUUAGCAAAAAAAAAAAAGAGAAAAGAAUAAUAACCUUAAAUACAUGGUAUUAGAGCGACCUAUGAUUGCAAUUCCACAUUGACUUCCCAUAGGAUGGAUCAAUAGGUACUCCAAGUCAAACUCCUAAAGUGUGCAGUAGGAGAAAAUAACAACAAAACCCAUGACAAACGCAACACGAGUUUAGAUGGAGAAGAAUAUUAAGCGAAACACUAAAAAAAUUAGAUAACAUUAUUAAUCCCAUAUCAAAAAACAAAUAAGAAAACAAGUAGACUUGUACGCUCUAGGAAAGCAUAUGACUAAUAUCACUAGGGGGGUUUAGCUAGGUACAGCUGAUGGUCCCAAGUUGAAAGGGACUCUUGAGUAUCGCUGAUGUUUUGACCUUAGUCCUAUAUAAUAGGGGCAAAACACUAUCUAUCCGGCGCGUCCACACCCAAUGAGAUAGAUUUUUGGUCACCUAGACUGAAUGGUCUAUGGACGCCUCUAAUCCAGCUGACUUAUCCUAUUUUAUACACAAAAAUGUUGAAAUCUCUAAAUAAUGAAGAGUAAACUAAAAUCAAAUAGCUUCCAUUAACAAGACAUGGGGUUAGAGCUUAGGGUUUAGAAUUAAUAAAGAAUCAUGAUUGCAAGCCAAACCUGGAUCAUUCAUAUACAUUAGAUGACAAUGAUAUCUCUAUAAGUUUUAGCAUUAAAACUAGGUUUGAGGAAACAUCAAAACAGAAAAUCCAAUUUGCAGACAUAAAAUACUUCAUUAAUUACAUUAACAAAAAGCUUAUCAAACAUUCCUUUGGAAAACAAUUUUGCAAAGACACUGUUAACUGCACAUAAUGAUUUAUAUUUGACUUGUAUAAAAGCAAUUGUACAUACCUUUUCAAGAUUUUCAAUUCCCCUCUUUCUUGUUUCAUCUGCUAUAUAAUACAAAAUUCCCCAUCAGCUACAUGCAUAGCUAAAUAGAGCUUUAGGCAUUCAAAAAGCUAAAGAACACAUGUUGGCCUCGAGGAAACACACAGAACCGUGCACAACGUCACAUUUCCACUUUCUCAGCAUGCUCGAAUUGAUGAACACAACGAACAGUGCUAACACAAUACUAAAAAGGUUUUCUUUAUGGAAGACAACUUUCUAUGACCAUUUUUCCACGACACGCUCUGAUAAUCUAAUUUCCUCAUCCUUGGAAAUAUGUGGAUCUAGCUUCUGAAGGUUGUCAAUAAAUGUCUUUGCCUCAUCACGCUGAUUGAGUUUACAAUAUCCAUCAACUAUGGAAUUGUAUGUAUUCUGGUUUGGUUUACAGCCGUGCUUGAUCAUGAAUUGGACAACAUCUAUGGCUUCCUCAAACAAGGAAUCAGCUGCAUAGCUUGCAACAAAGGUAUUGUAAGUGAUAACAUCUGGAACAAGGCCAGAAUCACCCAUUUCUGAAAAUAUCCGAGAAGCCUCUUUCAUUCGACCGUUUCUACAAUAGGCAUAAAUAACAGUGUUAUACGAGAUUAUAUCUGGUUUUAUUCCUUUUGCCUGAACUUCCCUUAAAAUUUGUUCUGAUUCCUCGAACUUUUCAGAGCGGCUAUACAUAUACAUCAAACUGUUGUAGGUCGUCAAGCUCGGAGUAUACCCACACUCAUUCAUGAAGUUCAAGAUCUCAUUUGUCUUGGAAACCAUCUGCCUCCUGCCAUAUAUUGAGAGCAUGGCAUUUAGAGUAGUUAUGUCAGGUGGAAAUCCUUUCUUCCUCAAUUCCAAGAAAGCACGCUCUGUAUCCGCAAGAAGGUCGCAUUUACUAUUAACCAAAACAAGAGUCUUUAACAGCACAGCAUGAGGUUCGAUGAUACCGGAGUAUAUCUCUUCCGCUAGGGCAUGCAUCCGAUCUACCUGCUUCCCAUUGGCAUAAACAUGAAGCAAAGAACAGUAGGUUAGCUCAUUGGGUUUGCAACGACCGUCUCUCAUUUCAGCCAGUAUUUUCUCAGACUGCUUCCAAAGCCCUCCCCGUGCCAAUGCCGCCAAAACAGCAUUAUAUGUAGAAAGGUCGGGGGUAACUCCAGCUUCCAGCAUUCUCUUAUAAAUAGCCAUGGCUUGAUCAAAAGCACCACAGCGACUGUAUGCACUAAUUAAAGUGUUGAAUGUGUCCCUUUCAGGUACAAACCCUGCCCUCUUCAUCUCCUUGAACACUCCAGACACUUCUACAUCCAUUCCAUUUUGCCCAAAUACUGCCAGUAGUGUAUUCCAAGUAACAAUAUCCGGUGCACCAUUGCAUGCCUUGAUCUCGUCAAAAAUCUUCAUCAUCUCAGUGAACUUCCCGCGGUUACCGUGCAUCUUAAUUAGAGCAUUGAAAGUGCAAAUAUUCGGCUUGCAACCAGAAGUUCUCAUCUCCUCAAAAACCGCCAUUGCAGACUCAUCUUUUCCGGCCUUGGCAAAUCCCGACAAAAGAGUGGUAUAGGUAAAAACAUCAGGCUUAAUCCCUUUUCCCUCCAUCUGUGUUUUCAAGUCCAUUGCUUCCUGCAACAGACCAUCCCUAGCAUAAGCGGAAAUCAACGAAUUAUAAGUCACAGUGCUAGGGGCAAACCCAUUAAGCUCCAUCUCUUUUAAAACCUCCAUAGCUUCCUUCGGACGCCGAGACUUACCAUAAACAUCCAACAAUGCAUUGUAAGUAACAUUAUCUGGAGUAAAACCAGCCAAUUUCAUUUCAUCGAAAACCGAAGCCGCUUCCUCAUGCAAAGACCCUCGACGACAGCUACUUAUAAGCGUAUUAUAAGUAUAAGCAUCAGGGGCAAUUCCAUCACUUUUCAUUCCAUCAAAAAGAGCCAUGACCUUACUCCAAGGCAUGCCCAUUUUACCAUACACAUUCAAAACCACAUUAUAAGUUAUCAAAGUAGGUUUACAACCCUCUUCCUCCAUUUUCUUAAAAACCACCAUGGCUUCCCUAUACCUCCCACUACCAGCAUAAGCAGUUAUCAAUGAAGUAUAAGCAUAAACAUCAAGACUAAACCCUUCUUUGUGCAAACCAUUAAACAAAUUAGCUGCAACAGAAACCCUCCCCUCUUUCCCUAACAUACUAAUAAUAAUAGCAACAACAGAGCUAUUCAACACCAAUCCACAAUCAUUUCUAGCUCUAACCCAAUUGAAAACACCCAAAGCCAAGUUAGAUUUCUUGUAAAAACCCAAAGCUUUAACAAUUCCCACCACUUCCGCAGCCAAAAAAUCAGCUUUCACAUCUGGGUUUUCUUGGUAUUGCUCAAACAACUUACUCAAAACAACAUCAAGUUGAUUAGAAUCAAAAGAAGGUUCAAUUAAGGAAUUAAGAACCUGCUGACCUUGAGCAGAGAGGUUGUUAUGAGUCCAACGCUUCCCACGGUUGACGUCACGUGACCGGCCGAGACGGUUCCGGGUCCGGACUUGUGGGUCGAUGGGUUGUUGGGACUUAGAAUUAUGUCGAAGAAGGAGGUCUUGAAAGACUGGAGUCGAGGGAGCAGGUGAAUUGGGUUGUGAAGUUGGGUUUUGUUGAGUGAAGUGAGUUUGGUUUGAUAAUGGGGUUUUAACAGGUGGGGGAUUUGGAAGGAGAAGAGGGAGAGCAAGCCUCUCUGCCAUUAAAGAGAGGAUAAGAAAGUUGCAGCCUUUGUAUCUAUGGUUGAGUUAGAAACAGAGAGGGAGAAAAAGAAAAGGGUAAUUGAUAAUUUUAGUGCGCUUUCGUUAUUACUUGCAGAGUCCACAACUUUUUUUUUUAGAAGUCUAAGGCUUAAAGGGGGACAUGACAAAGAUAUGCGGAGGAUAUUUUAGGAGGUAAAAGGGAGAUUAUAUUCUUCUGUGGUUAAGAAUGAACUAUUGAAAUACUAUGACCAAUAAAAGGUUGCCACGUAAACUCUGAAAGCGGACUCUUAAGUCAAAAUUGGUGACGUUUGCCCUCUUCAAAAUUAGUUCGAUUAGACAAAUUAUACUUAUUUAAACAUUUUCUCUUUUAUUUUUAUAUAAAAAUUAAUUUAAAGUGAAGCUUAAUAUUAUUAUAUUAAUAAUAUUUUUUAUUUUAAAAAAUAUUUAAAAUUAAUAAAAUAUUUAUAAUUUUCAAUAUUAUUAAUCAUACUUAUUUAAUUAUCUAUUUCUAAUCAUAUUAAUAACUUAUUAUUUUAAUAAUUUAUUUAAUAAUUUAAUUUUAUUUUAAAAAUAAAUUUGAAAAAUAAUAAUUUUAAAUAAUAUUCUUCAUAUAGUAUUGAAAAAUAUUCAAUGUUAAUAUUUUAAUAAUAAAUAUUUAUUACAAUUAUAAAUAUAUUACAGAUAAAUAUUUUGUAGUAUAAAUGUUAAAAUAUGUCAUAAAUAUAUAUACUCCUCACAAAUUUGAAAUUUAGUCCCUAUUCUUUUAUUUUCAAGAAUUUAAUCAUUCUACUGUUCAUAUUUAAAAAUCAAGUCCAAUUGUUAACAUUGUUAAAUUUUUUUUGUCAAUUUUGUUGAUGUCAAUUUUUAAAUAAAAAAUACUUGAUAUUCAUGUAACUAAAAGAUGACGUUACAAUUAACAUGAAUUUAACAAAAUAUUUUUAAUAAUGCUAUCAGAUGAACCUUAAUUUUGAUAUAUAAAAGGUAGGACUAACCCAAAAAUAAAAGCACAUGGACUAAAUUUCAAAUUUACGAAAAGUACAAUGACUUAUGACAUAUUUUAACCUAGUAUAAAAAUAUGAAUAUUUUAAUUAUAUAAAUUUGAAUAUUUGUUUAAGUAAUGUUUAGCUUCAUUUAUCCUUUACAACUCUAAUGUGUCAAUAUCUAUUCUCACAUAUCUAAUAUAUAUAAUUAAAAUUAAGUUUUAAUUAAGCAUUAUUUAUUAUUAAGUUUAUAUAUGACACUGAUUAUUACAAAAUAUUUUCUUAUUAUAAAAUAAAUUUCAAUUGUUAAAAGGAAAUUGCACUGUAAUAUUUUAUAACAAAUAUAUUUAUGUCAUGUUUGUUUUACAAAGAACAAUGUAAAAUAUAAAUUUAUAGAUAUAAAAUAAACUCAAUUAAACAAUGAAAAUAUAAGAAAAUCUCAUAUGUAUGUUUGUUUCAUUGAAAACAACUUUUAUGAAAUAUUUAUAGUAAAUCUGUCAAAUAACAGAAAAUAUUAAUUUUUCAAAAAAGUAAGUCAUUUUCCAGAAAUCAUUUUUCGGAAGUCAUUUUCAGUGAAACAAAUGGAACCUAAACUUGAAAAUCGUAAGUUAACUUGAUAUUUUUUUAGGCACCUAAUACUAUUAAAAUAUACUGACAUAACACUGACGAUCAAUUGGAUGGUGACACGUGAUAACCUCACAUUUUUUAUUAUAAAUAUUAUAUUUUUUUAUUUUGCCACGUGUCAAAAUAUAAGGCUAUCACGUGUCACCAUUCUAUUAGUAGUCAACGUCACAUCAGCGUAUUUUAAUGAUGUUAGUCAAGUAGCUAAAAAAACACAAAGUUGACUUAUAAUUUUUAAGUUUAGGUACCAGUCAGGGCCAAAAUUAAACUAUGUAAUUGAUAUUUAUGUCAUUAUUGUUGUUUAUUUGUGUAACUAAGAAUUGAUGACUUUAUUGUUUCAACCACUAAUUCGGUUUCCAAAAAACAUUGAUUCAAAGGAAACUAACCUAAACCGAACUAUAUAAUUGAUGUUUAUGCCAUUAUUAUAUAUGUGUUUAUAAUAACUAGAAUCGAUAACUUAACCGUUUCAACCACCUCUUCCAACUUCUAAAAAAAACAUUGGUAAAUGGAAGUUAGAUUAUUUUCAAAUCUUCAAGCUUUAUAAGUUAUUGAAUCGAGUGAUAAAAUACUUAUUAAUUCAUAAAAAGUUGAUGAAUCGUUUGAAAAGAAAGAAAAAGAAAAAGAAAAACCAAUGCUAAAAAAUGCUUGUUUCUUAUUUAGAAGUCCAAUUCAACUCAAGUUGUGUUUAGUAUUACUUUUAAGAAGUAUUUUUGAGAAAAAAAUACUUUUGAGAUAAAAACAUUAUUAAAUAAAAUGCUAAAUUGACCCGCAAUCGAUACCUGUGGGNNNNNNNNNNNNNNNNNNNNNNNNNNNNNNNNNNNNNNNNNNNNNNNNNNNNNNNNNNNNNNNNNNNNNNNNNNNNNNNNNNNNNNNNNNNNNNNNNNNNNNNNNNNNNNNNNNNNNNNNNNNNNNNNNNNNNNNNNNNNNNNNNNNNNNNNNNNNNNNNNNNNNNNNNNNNNNNNNNNNNNNNNNNNNNNNNNNNNNNNNNNNNNNNNNNNNNNNNNNNNNNNNNNNNNNNNNNNNNNNNNNNNNNNNNNNNNNNNNNNNNNNNNNNNNNNNNNNNNNNNNNNNNNNNNNNNNNNNNNNNNNNNNNNNNNNNNNNNNNNNNNNNNNNNNNNNNNNNNNNNNNNNNNNNNNNNNNNNNNNNNNNNNNNNNNNNNNNNNNNNNNNNNNNNNNNNNNNNNNNNNNNNNNNNNNNNNNNNNNNNNNNNNNNNNNNNNNNNNNNNNNNNNNNNNNNNNNNNNNNNNNNNNNNNNNNNNNNNNNNNNNNNNNNNNNNNNNNNNNNAAUAUAUCUUAAAUUUUAUUUUAUUGUAAUUUUAUAUGAAUUGAUUAUAAUUUUAAUUGACCGAAUAUAUAUCCUUUAUUAUUUAUAUUAUAUUUGUACUUGUAAUUUUUUUAAAAAUUUAAAUUAAACAUGCCCUUUUUUUAAAAAUGUAAAUAUAAAUAUUUGUUUAUAUUAUAAUGUGUUUAUAAUAAGAGUCAGAUUAUAUAUAUAUAUAUUUGUAAUAGAGUCAGAUUAUAUUUUACAUCUUCUGUUCGAAAAAAUUGGAAAAUUAAUCAACAGAUAAAAAUUAAAUCUAUUCUUAUUAUUAAAAAUUAUUUAAUUUCUGAAAAAAUUCUUAUAGGUAACCUUUUAGAUCUUUUUUAGCUGUGUUUAUUAAAAAAAAUAAAAAAAUAUAAAAGUAGUUUUUUUAGAGUAAAUGUAAAACUUUAAAAUAAUUGUAAUAUGUAAAAUUAAAAAUAUUAAACUAUUUACAACCGUCGGAUUAAAAAUGAUAUAUUUUUGAAUGAUGAUGAAGAUCGAUUCCUGAUGUAUAUAAAUACUGCCUUCUAUUCCCUUCAGUCUUCGCUUCACCCACUUUCUCAUUUCACACGGGUUGUGGCGUAGUUUAAGCAGAGAGGGUGCGCAGGAUAAAGCUAUUCACCAUUGUUUCAACAUGAAGGUUUGUAAUAAAAAUUUGUUUCUAUCAGCAUUGCUUUGCAUUGCUGUUGCAGGAGUUUUGGGUCAAGCUCCUAGUAAUCCUCCUACGUCUACGCCGGCGCCACCCACACCACCGGCUUCUACUCCUCCUCCGACGACUCAAGCACCGCCUACACCAACCGCCACUCCGCCACCGGUUUCUACUCCUCCUCCCACUUCAUCACCGCCCCCAGUGACAGCUUCUCCACCCCCAGUUUCAACUCCUCCACCCAGUUCUCCUCCUCCUGCAACUCCACCACCUGCUUCUCCUCCUCCUGCAACUCCACCUCCAGCUUCUCCACCUCCUGCCACUCCUCCACCAGCUUCUCCACCUCCCGCCACUCCACCACCUGCAACCCCACCGCCAGCAACUCCUCCUCCUGCUACCCCACCACCAGCUCCAUUGGCUUCUCCUCCAGCCACAGUCCCAGCUAUCUCUCCAGUACAAACACCAUUGACAUCGCCACCAGCUCCGCCGACCGAGGCCCCAGCACCUACCCUCGGGG
rnacentral:lncRNA from 1 species